AUACGUAGGGGGCAAGCGUUGUCCGGAAUGAUUGGGCGUAAAGGGCGCGUAGGCGGCCUUUUAAGUCCGAUGUGAAAUUCCUGUUUUUAAGGCAGGAAUUGCAUUGGAAACUGGAGGGCUUGAGUGCAGGAGAGGUAAGCGGAAUUCCCGGUGUAGCGGUGAAAUGCGUAGAGAUCGGGAGGAACACCAGUGGCGAAGGCGGCUUACUGGACUGUAACUGACGCUGAGGCGCGAAAGUGUGGGGAGCAAACAGGAUUAGAUACCCUGGUAGUCCACACUGUAAACGAUGAGUGCUAGGUGUAGGAGGUAUCGACCCCUUCUGUGCCGGAGUCAACACAAUAAGCACUCCGCCUGGGGAGUACGGCCGCAAGGUUGAA
rnacentral:rRNA from 1 species